CGCUGGCGGCGUGCCUAAUACAUGCAAGUCGAACGGCUUUUCUAUGGAAGCUUGCUUCCACUGAGAAGAUAGUGGCGAACGGGUGAGUAACACGUGGGUAACCUGCCCAUAAGAGGGGGGAUAACAUCCGGAAACGGGUGCUAAUACCGCAUAGUUUUCUUGAUCGCAUGAUCGGGAAAGGAAAGACGGCCUUUGUGCUGUCGCUUAUGGAUGGACCCGCGGCGUAUUAGUUAGUUGGUGAGGUAACGGCUCACCAAGACGAUGAUACGUAGCCGACCUGAGAGGGUGAUCGGCCACAUUGGGACUGAGACACGGCCCAAACUCCUACGGGAGGCAGCAGUAGGGAAUCUUCCGCAAUGGACGAAAGUCUGACGGAGCAACGCCGCGUGAGUGAAGAAGGUUUUUCCGGAUCGUAAAACUCUGUUGUCAGAGAAGAACAAGUUGGAGAGUAACUGCUCCAGCCUUGACGGUAUCUGACCAGAAAGCCACGGCUAACUACGUGCCAGCAGCAGC
rnacentral:rRNA from 1 species